CCUCUCCUCUCACAUGCCCCUUAGCCUCCAUGCCCAAAGGUGUUGGGCAUCCAUCAUCUAAAGAAGCCCAAUUGUUGGGCCAUUCCAAUUUAUGCUAGAGAAAGAAAAAGAAGACUGCCAAUCUAGUAGAGACUGCGCUACAAUCAAGAGUUGAUCGUAAUUCAAAAAUUCAGAUCGAGAGCAUGUGGAGAUCCUCUUAGAGAAG
rnacentral:lncRNA from 1 species